rnacentral:rRNA from 1 species
UACGGAGGGUGCGAGCGUUGUCCGGAAUCACUGGGCGUAAAGCGCGUGUAGGCGGCAGACCAAGUCGGCGGUGAAAGCGCCCGGCUCAACUGGGCGAGGUCCGUGGAAACUGGUCAGCUGGAGGACGGUAGAGGCGAGUGGAAUUCCCGGUGUAGUGGUGAAAUGCGUAGAGAUCGGGAGGAACACCUGUGGCGAAGGCGGCUCGCUGGGCCGGUCCUGACGCUGAGACGCGAAGGCGUGGGGAGCGAACGGG